AUUGAACGCUGGCGGCAUGCUUUACACAUGCAAGUCGAACGGUAACAGGCCUUCGGGUGCUGACGAGUGGCGAACGGGUGAGUAAUGCAUCGGAACGUGCCCAGAGGUGGGGGAUAACGCAGCGAAAGCUGUGCUAAUACCGCAUGCGAUCUGAGGAUGAAAGCGGGGGACCAGGCAGCAAUGUUUGGCCUCGCGCCUUUGGAGCGGCCGAUGUCAGAUUAGGUAGUUGGUGGGGUAAAGGCCUACCAAGCCGACGAUCUGUAGCUGGUCUGAGAGGACGACCAGCCACACUGGGACUGAGACACGGCCCAGACUCCUACGGGAGGCAGCAGUGGGGAAUUUUGGACAAUGGGCGCAAGCCUGAUCCAGCAAUGCCGCGUGCGGGAAGAAGGCCUUCGGGUUGUAAACCGCUUUUGUACGGAACGAAAAGGCUCUGGCUAAUACCUGGGGCUGAUGACGGUACCGUAAGAAUAAGCACCGGCUAACUACGUG
rnacentral:rRNA from 1 species